AGUGAAUAGAUACCCCGGUAGUCCACGCCGUAAACGAUGAUCACUCGCUGUUAGCGAUACACAGUUAGCGGCUAAAGCAAAAGCAUUAAGUGAUCCACCUGGGGAGUACGGCCGCAAGGCUGAAACUCAAAGGAAUUGACGGGGGCCCGGCACAAGCGGAGGAACAUGUGGUUUAAUUCGAUGAUACGCGAGGAACCUUACCUGGGCUUAAAUGUAGACUGCAUUAAUGGGAAACCCAUUUAUUUCCUUCGGGACUGUCUGCAAGGUGCUGCAUGGUUGUCGUCAGCUCGUGCCGUGAGGUGUCGGAUUAAGUUCCAUAACGAGCGCAACCCUUAUCGUUAGUUGCCAGCGGGUAAUGCCGGGGACUCUAGCGAAACUGCCGGUGUAAACCGUGA
rnacentral:rRNA from 1 species